rnacentral:rRNA from 1 species
UGGGGAAUAUUGGACAAUGGGCGCAAGCCUGAUCCAGCCAUGCCGCGUGAGUGAUGAAGGCCUUAGGGUUGUAAAGCUCUUUUGUCCGGGAAGAUAAUGACUGUACCGGAAGAAUAAGCCCCGGCUAACUUCGUGCCAGCAGCCGCGGUAAUACGAAGGGGGCUAGCGUUGCUCGGAAUCACUGGGCGUAAAGGGCGCGUAGGCGGACUCUUAAGUCGGGGGUGAAAGCCCAGGGCUCAACCCUGGAAUUGCCUUCGAUACUGAGAGUCUUGAGUUCGGAAGAGGUUGGUGGAACUGCGAGUGUAGAGGUGAAAUUCGUAGAUAUUCGCAAGAACUCCAGUGGCGAAGGCGGCCAACUGGUCCGAUACUGACGCUGAGGCGCGAAAGCGUGGGGAGCAAACAGG